GCCGGUUUAGCUCAGAGGUUAGAGCAUCGCAUUUG
rnacentral:tRNA from 4 species